rnacentral:sRNA from 1 species
AAAGACUGAUGCAAAAAAAAAGAGAGAGAAAACGA